rnacentral:rRNA from 1 species
CCUACGGGAGGCAGCAGUGAGGAAUAUUGGUCAAUGGACGAGAGUCUGAACCAGCCAAGUAGCGUGAAGGAUGACUGCCCUAUGGGUUGUAAACUUCUUUUAUAAAGGAAUAAAACGAGGCACGUGUGCCUUUUUGUAUGUACUUUAUGAAUAAGGAUCGGCUAACUCCGUGCCAGCAGCCGCGGUAAUACGGAGGAUCCGAGCGUUAUCCGGAUUUAUUGGGUUUAAAGGGAGCGUAGAUGGGUUGUUAAGUCAGUUGUGAAAGUUUGCGGCUCAACCGUAAAAUUGCAAUUGAUACUGGCAGUCUUGAGUACAGUUGAGGUAGGAGGAAUUCGUGGUGUAGCGGUGAAAUGCUUAGAUAUCACGAAGAACCCCGAUUGCGAAGGCAGCUUACUAAACUGUGACUGACAUUGAUGCUCGAAAGUGUGGGUAUCAAACAGGAUUAGAUACCCCUGUAGUC